rnacentral:rRNA from 1 species
CAGCCGCCGCGGUAAUACGGAAGGUCCGGGCGUUAUCCGGAUUUAUUGGGUUUAAAGGGAGCGCAGACGGCCUGUUAAGCGUGCAGUGAAAUGUGGGUGCUCAACAUCUGCACUGCUGCGUGAACUGGCGGGCUUGAGUUGUCUGGAGGUGCGCGGAAUUCGUGGUGUAGCGGUGAAAUGCUUAGAUAUCACGAGGAACCCCGAUUGCGAAGGCAGCGCACCGUUGGCACACUGACGUUGAGGCUCGAAGGUGCGGGUAUCGAACAGGAUUAGAUACCCUGGUAGUCCGCACGGUAAACGAUGGAUGCCCGCUGUCGGCGAUACACUGCCGGCGGCCAAGCGAAAGCGUUAAGCAUCCCACCUGGGGAGUACGCCGGCAACGGUGAAACUCAAAGGAAUUGGCGGGGGAGCAC